GGUGAACCUGCGGAAGGAUCAUUAGUGAUUGCCAUCUUGGCUUAAACUAUAUCCAUCUACACCUGUGAACCGUUUGAUUGAAUCUUCUGAUUCAAUUUUACAAACAUUGUGUAAUGAACGUCAUUAGAUCAUAACAAAAAAAAACUUUUAACAACGGAUCUCUUGGCUCUCGCAUCGAUGAAGAACGCAGCGAAAUGCGAUAAGUAAUGUGAAUUGCAGAAUUCAGUGAAUCAUCGAAUCUUUGAACGCAACUUGCGCUCUCUGGUAUUCCGGAGAGCAUGCCUGUUUGAGUGUCAUGAAAUCUCAACCAUUAGGGUUUCUUAAUGGCUUGGAUUUGGAGGUUGCCAUUCUAAAUGGCUCCUCUUAAAGGAGUUAGCAAGUUUUACUAUUGCUAUCUGGCGUAAUAAGUUUCGCUGGAAUGGUAUUGUGAAGCGUGCUUCUAAUCGUCUUCGGACAAUUACUUUGACUCUGGCCUCAAAUCAGGUAGGACUACCCGCUGAACUUAAGCAUAUCAAUAAGCGGAGGA
rnacentral:sRNA from 1 species